GGUUAAGCGACUAAGCGUACACGGUGGAUGCCCUGGCAGUCAGAGGCGAUGAAGGACGUGCUAAUCUGCGAUAAGCGUCGGUAAGGUGAUAUGAACCGUUAUAACCGGCGAUUUCCGAAUGGGGAAACCCAGUGUGUUUCGACACACUAUCAUUAACUGAAUCCAUAGGUUAAUGAGGCGAACCGGGGGAACUGAAACAUCUAAGUACCCCGAGGAAAAGAAAUCAACCGAGAUUCCCCCAGUAGCGGCGAGCGAACGGGGAGCAGCCCAGAGCCUGAAUCAGUGUGUGUGUUAGUGGAAGCGUCUGGAAAGGCGCGCGAUACAGGGUGACAGCCCCGUACACAAAAAUGCACAUGCUGUGAGCUCGAUGAGUAGGGCGGGACACGUGGUAUCCUGUCUGAAUAUGGGGGGACCAUCCUCCAAGGCUAAAUACUCCUGACUGACCGAUAGUGAACCAGUACCGUGAGGGAAAGGCGAAAAGAACCCCGGCGAGGGGAGUGAAAAAGAACCUGAAACCGUGUACGUACAAGCAGUGGGAGCACGCUUAGGCGUGUGACUGCGUACCUUUUGUAUAAUGGGUCAGCGACUUAUAUUCUGUAGCAAGGUUAACCGAAUAGGGGAGCCGAAGGGAAACCGAGUCUUAACUGGGCGUUAAGUUGCAGGGUAUAGACCCGAAACCCGGUGAUCUAGCCAUGGGCAGGUUGAAGGUUGGGUAACACUAACUGGAGGACCGAACCGACUAAUGUUGAAAAAUUAGCGGAUGACUUGUGGCUGGGGGUGAAAGGCCAAUCAAACCGGGAGAUAGCUGGUUCUCCCCGAAAGCUAUUUAGGUAGCGCCUCGUGAAUUCAUCUCCGGGGGUAGAGCACUGUUUCGGCAAGGGGGUCAUCCCGACUUACCAACCCGAUGCAAACUGCGAAUACCGGAGAAUGUUAUCACGGGAGACACACGGCGGGUGCUAACGUCCGUCGUGAAGAGGGAAACAACCCAGACCGCCAGCUAAGGUCCCAAAGUCAUGGUUAAGUGGGAAACGAUGUGGGAAGGCCCAGACAGCCAGGAUGUUGGCUUAGAAGCAGCCAUCAUUUAAAGAAAGCGUAAUAGCUCACUGGUCGAGUCGGCCUGCGCGGAAGAUGUAACGGGGCUAAACCAUGCACCGAAGCUGCGGCAGCGACGCUUAUGCGUUGUUGGGUAGGGGAGCGUUCUGUAAGCCUGCGAAGGUGUGCUGUGAGGCAUGCUGGAGGUAUCAGAAGUGCGAAUGCUGACAUAAGUAACGAUAAAGCGGGUGAAAAGCCCGCUCGCCGGAAGACCAAGGGUUCCUGUCCAACGUUAAUCGGGGCAGGGUGAGUCGACCCCUAAGGCGAGGCCGAAAGGCGUAGUCGAUGGGAAACAGGUUAAUAUUCCUGUACUUGGUGUUACUGCGAAGGGGGGACGGAGAAGGCUAUGUUGGCCGGGCGACGGUUGUCCCGGUUUAAGCGUGUAGGCUGGUUUUCCGUGGCAAAUCCGGAAAAUCAAGGCUGAGGCGUGAUGACGAGGCACUACGGUGCUGAAGCAACAAAUGCCCUGCUUCCGGGAAAGCCUCUAAGCAUCAGGUAACAUCAAAUCGUACCCCAAACCGACACAGGUGGUCAGGUAGAGAAUACCAAGGCGCUUGAGAGAACUCGGGUGAAGGAACUAGGCAAAAUGGUGCCGUAACUUCGGGAGAAGGCACGCUGAUAUGUAGGUGAAGCGACUUGCUCGUGGAGCUGAAAUCAGUCGAAGAUACCAGCUGGCUGCAACUGUUUAUUAAAAACACAGCACUGUGCAAACACGAAAGUGGACGUAUACGGUGUGACGCCUGCCCGGUGCCGGAAGGUUAAUUGAUGGGGUUAGCGCAAGCGAAGCUCUUGAUCGAAGCCCCGGUAAACGGCGGCCGUAACUAUAACGGUCCUAAGGUAGCGAAAUUCCUUGUCGGGUAAGUUCCGACCUGCACGAAUGGCGUAAUGAUGGCCAGGCUGUCUCCACCCGAGACUCAGUGAAAUUGAACUCGCUGUGAAGAUGCAGUGUACCCGCGGCAAGACGGAAAGACCCCGUGAACCUUUACUAUAGCUUGACACUGAACAUUGAGCCUUGAUGUGUAGGAUAGGUGGGAGGCUUAGAAGUGUGGACGCCAGUCUGCAUGGAGCCGACCUUGAAAUACCACCCUUUAAUGUUUGAUGUUCUAACGUUGACCCGUAAUCCGGGUUGCGGACAGUGUCUGGUGGGUAGUUUGACUGGGGCGGUCUCCUCCUAAAGAGUAACGGAGGAGCACGAAGGUUGGCUAAUCCUGGUCGGACAUCAGGAGGUUAGUGCAAUGGCAUAAGCCAGCUUGACUGCGAGCGUGACGGCGCGAGCAGGUGCGAAAGCAGGUCAUAGUGAUCCGGUGGUUCUGAAUGGAAGGGCCAUCGCUCAACGGAUAAAAGGUACUCCGGGGAUAACAGGCUGAUACCGCCCAAGAGUUCAUAUCGACGGCGGUGUUUGGCACCUCGAUGUCGGCUCAUCACAUCCUGGGGCUGAAGUAGGUCCCAAGGGUAUGGCUGUUCGCCAUUUAAAGUGGUACGCGAGCUGGGUUUAGAACGUCGUGAGACAGUUCGGUCCCUAUCUGCCGUGGGCGCUGGAGAACUGAGGGGGGCUGCUCCUAGUACGAGAGGACCGGAGUGGACGCAUCACUGGUGUUCGGGUUGUCAUGCCAAUGGCACUGCCCGGUAGCUAAAUGCGGAAGAGAUAAGUGCUGAAAGCAUCUAAGCACGAAACUUGCCCCGAGAUGAGUUCUCCCUGACCCUUUAAGGGUCCUGAAGGAACGUUGAAGACGACGACGUUGAUAGGCCGGGUGUGUAAGCGCAGCGAUGCGUUGAGCUAACCGGUACUAAUGAACCGUGAGGCUUAACCUU
rnacentral:rRNA from 1 species